rnacentral:rRNA from 1 species
UACGAAGGGGGCUAGCGUUGCUCGGAAUUACUGGGCGUAAAGGGCGCGUAGGCGGACAGUUUAGUCAGAGGUGAAAGCCCAGGGCUCAACCUUGGAAUUGCCUUUGAUACUGGCUGUCUUGAGUUCGGGAGAGGUGAGUGGAAUGCCGAGUGUAGAGGUGAAAUUCGUAGAUAUUCGGCGGAACACCAGUGGCGAAGGCGACUACCUGGCCUGUUCUUGACGCUGAGGCGCGAAAGCUAGGGGAGCAAACGGGG